UGACCGACCGCGGCAAGGCUGGCUUUGCGGAAGAGGUGAAGGAGUUCGCACCUUCGGUGAAUUUCACCAUUCCGAACGGCGUCUGCUUCUCCAAGGAUGGCUUCCUCUUCGUUGUCGAACAGAAUCGCGUUCUCAAUUUCCCUGCGGCAGAAUUCUUCUAUGAAAGCCCCGACAUCGCCGUGGCCGUCGUCGUCCCGCAAGGCGAGCUGAUCCCGAAGGAAGACGAAAGCUUC
rnacentral:misc_RNA from 1 species